UGCCAGCCGCCGCGGUAAUACGGGGGGUGCAAGCGUUAUUCGGAAUUACUGGGCGUAAAGAGCGCGUAGGCGGUCUCUUAAGUCGGAUGUGAAAGCCCGGGGCUCAACCCCGGAAGUGCACUCGAAACUAAGGGACUUGAGUAUGGGAGAGGGAAGUGGAAUUCCUGGUGUAGCGGUGAAAUGCGUAGAUAUCAGGAGGAACAUCAGUGGCGAAGGCGGCUGCCUGGCUCAAUACUGACACUGAGGUGCGAAAGCGUGGGGAGCAAACAGGAUUAGAUA
rnacentral:rRNA from 1 species